GUGGCAAAACCCCGCCCCUCACGGCCUUCCCGCUCUUCCAGUGCGCGUGCGUUGGCUGGGGAGGCGGAGGUGGGUGCCAUGGCAACGCGGGAGGUAACGGAGGGGAGGCCGCGUCUGUGGCGGCCCUCAGGGGAGACCGGCACCGGCACCCGGGACUCGCACCCGCCGCAGGCAGAGGGGAGGGCUCUGUCUUGUGGUGUUAGAGGACAUCUCGAGGACUUUGCUGAAAAGCUGAGAAUCCUGGAAUCUGGUAGAAUUUGUGGAUUACUUCAGGGGUGAUUGUCUGCAAAGAAGCCAUUUUAGGUACAGCACACCUUGACCUGUUUUUGCAGUCACCUAAUUUCCCCUGUUUUUUGUUUUGUUUUUUUUUUUUCAAUUUUCAUCCCUGCCUCAACUGUAAGGAACAGUGUGUAACCCACUGCAUGAUUGUGUGUUGCAGGGUCUGUCUUCAGGGCUUGACGUGGAGUCCCUCUGCUCAGUAAAAGGAUAUAGCCAUGGUAAUGCAGGUUUGAUUCUUUUCAAGUGUAUUGAUACCGUUUUAAGGAGUUAAAUGGGGUUAAUAACCAAAAUGUUCCUUCUCAAGGCUGCAGGACAAUCUGACCUGCCCAAAUUCACGUUGUGUGCAAGUGUGCACCUGAUUCUGAUUUUUAGCUUUUCUUAUUGUUCUCAACAACAGGC
rnacentral:lncRNA from 1 species